UGGAGUUACUGCGACUGGAGCAUACAGAG
rnacentral:piRNA from 1 species